UUUGCCUACGGGGCGCAGCAGUGAGGAAUAUUGGUCAAUGGACGCAAGUCUGAACCAGCCAAGUAGCGUGCAGGAUGACGGCCCUCCGGGUUGUAAACUGCUUUUAGUUGGGAAUAAAAGGGGGCUCGUGAGCCCCGUAUUGUAUGUACCAUCAGAAAAAGGACCGGCUAAUUCCGUGCCAGCAGCCGCGGUAAUACGGAAGGUCCGGGCGUUAUCCGGAUUUAUUGGGUUUAAAGGGAGCGUAGGCCGGCUUUUAAGAAAAAUGUGACAGUCCGCGGCUCAACCGUGGAAUUGCAGUUUAAACU
rnacentral:rRNA from 1 species